ACGGAAGGCAGCAGUAGGGAAUCUUCGGCAAUGGGGGCAACCCUGACCGAGCAACGCCGCGUGAGUGAAGAAGGUUUUCGGAUCGUAAAGCUCUGUUGUAAGAGAAGAACGUGUGUGAGAGUGGAAAGUUCACACAGUGACGGUAACUUACCAGAAAGGGACGGCUAACUACGUGCCAGCAGCCGCGGUAAUACGUAGGUCCCGAGCGUUGUCCGGAUUUAUUGGGUGUAAAGCGAGCGCAGGCGGUUUAAUAAGUCUGAAGUUAAAGGCAGUGGCUUAACCAUUGUUCGCUUUGGAAACUGUUAGACUUGAGUGCAGAAGGGGAGAGUGGAAUUCCAUGUGUAGCGGUGAAAUGCGUAGAUAUAUGGAGGAACACCGGUGGCGAAAGCGGCUGUCUGGUCUGUAACUGACGCUGAGGCUCGAAAGCGUGGGGAUCAAACAGGAUUAGAUACCCUGGUA
rnacentral:rRNA from 1 species